rnacentral:misc_RNA from 1 species
AGCCGCGGUAAUUCCAGCUCCAAUAGCGUAUAUUAAAGUUGUUGCAGUUAAAAAGCUCGUAGUUGAAUUUCGGGAUCAAUUUGCUGGUCGUGCCUUCGGUACGCACUGGUAUUAUUGGUUUCUCCUUUCUGAUGAAUCGCGAUGUCAUUAAUUUGGUGUCGUGGGGAAUCAGGACCGUUACUUUGAAAAAAUUAGAGUGUUUAAAGCAGGCUCACGCUUGAAUACAUUAGCAUGGAAUAAUGAAAUAGGACGUUUGAUUCUAUUUUGUUGGUUUCUAGGAUCGACGUAAUGAUUAAUAGGGAUAGUUGGGGGCAUUAGUAUUCAAUUGUCAGAGGUGAAAUUCUUGGAUUUAUUGAAGACUAACUACUGCGAAAGCAUUUGCCAAGGAUGUUUUCAUUAAUCAAGAACGAAAGUUAGGGGAUCGAAGACGAUCAGAUACCGUCGUAGUCUUAACCAUAAACUAUGCCGACUAGGGAUCGGAUGAUGUUAAUUUUUUAAUGACUCAUUCGGCGCCUUACG